rnacentral:rRNA from 1 species
UACGGAGGGUGCGAGCGUUGUCCGGAAUCAUUGGGCGUAAAGGGCGCGUAGGUGGCCUGUUAAGCGUGCGGUGAAAGCUCGGGGCUCAACCCCGAGUCGGCCGUGCGAACUGGGAGGCUCGAGCACUGUAGAGGCAGGCGGAAUUCCGGGUGUAGCGGUGGAAUGCGUAGAGAUCCGGAAGAACACCGGUGGCGAAGGCAGCCUGCUGGGCAGUAGCUGACACUGAGGCGCGACAGCGUGGGGAGCAAACAGG